ACGCGUUGGGAGCUCUCCCAUAUGGUCGACCUGCAGGCGGCCGCGAAUUCACUAGUGAUUCGUAUACCGCGGCUGCUGGCAAGAGUUAGCCGGGGCUUCUUCUUCCGGACCGUCAUUAUCUUCCCGAUCGAAAGGAGUUUACAUCCCAAAGGACUUCAUCCUCCACGCGGCAUUGCUGCGUCAGGGUUUCCCCCAUUGCGCAAAAUUCCCCACUGCUGCCUCCCGUAGGAGUCUGGACCGUGUUUCAGUUCCAGUGUGGCCGUGCGCCCUCUCAGGCCGGCUACCCGUCGUCGCCUUGGUGGGCCGUUACCUCACCAACAAGCUGAUAGGCCGCGGGCCCAUCCCUGACCGAAAAACUUUCCACGCGAGGAGAUGCCAUCUCGCGUAAUAUCCGGUAUUAGCCCCGGUUUCCCGGAGUUAUCCCAGUGUCAGGGGCAGGUUGCCCACGUGUUACUCACCCGUUCGCCACUGAUCAGGAUGAGCAGCUCUCCGUCACCGUUCGACUUGAUGUGUUAAGCACGCCGCAGCGUUCGUCCUGAGUCAUGAUCAAACUCUAAUCGAAUUCCCGCGGCCGCCAUGGCG
rnacentral:rRNA from 1 species